rnacentral:rRNA from 1 species
CGAAGGAUGCAAGCGUUAUCCGGAUUCAUUGGGUUUAAAGGGUGCGUAGGCGGCCCGGUAAGUCAGUGGUGAAAUCUCCUUGCUUAACAAGGAAACUGCCAUUGAUACUGCUGGGCUUGAGUACAGAUGCUGUGGGCGGAAUAUGACAUGUAGUGGUGAAAUACUUAGAGAUGUCAUAGAACACCGAUUGCGAAGGCAGCUCACAAAACUGUAACUGACGCUGAGGCACGAAAGUGCGGGGAUCAAACAGGAUUAGAUACCCUGGUAGUCCGCACUGUAAACGAUGAUUACUCGCUGCUAGAGGGCAACUUUUAGUGGCUUAGCGAAAGCGAUAAGUAAUCCACCUGGGGAGUACGCCGGCAACGGUG